CUACAAAUAGGUGGCAAGCCCGAGGUCAAAUGCAUUCAAUCUCGAUCUCUUCUUUCUUACAACCUCUCCAUUAUUGUCCUAAUAGUUUUUUUCCUUCUCUUGUUAAGACAAGAUCCUCUUAAGGGCAAGAAGUCUACUUUAGGGCAAGGGCUUAGGAAGAGAACUAGGUGAGACAAAGAGAAAAGAAAGAAAGAGAGGGAGAAGGCUAGGAAGAGGAAAAGGAAGGUCAAGCUUUCAGACAGUGUUGUGCUGUCCAAAAAAGUUUUUUGAGAAAGAAUUCAGUUAGAAGAAUCAAUUUUGAGAAGUGAGAGUCUUGAACCCAACUCCCGUGUGGAUCA
rnacentral:lncRNA from 1 species